rnacentral:rRNA from 1 species
AUGCAACGUGGAUCAAUAACCUAUACUACCCUAACCGUCGUCAAAGAUGUCCACUAUCUCCGCGCCUGGCUCCGGGUACAUGGCCGGCAGCAGCAGCUCCGGCUCCUCCACGCCGGCCUCCGCAUCCAUCUUCCCUUCGACCUCAUCGAAGAGCGUGUCAGUUGUUGCGUGUUUCUGCCGGAUGAACAUGUGUAUAGGGAAAGCUAUGCGUACAACCUAGGGGGCAAAGAUAGUUCAAAAUCCAUGUAA